AAAAAUAAUAAUAAAGUAAUGUGCACCUCAGCCACCCAUCGCUUCCGGCCCUGAGGCUUGUUAAAACUAAGGCAUGGGUGCGGCUGCCCGCCGACGGACGUUAUUACACGCCCGAAAAACACCAAACUGUGUUGCAAUCGAAGAUUGCAGACCCGUGAAGAAAAACAUCCGGAUCAAUUGAAGAAUCGCCCCACCAACUCUGCUCAACUGAAGAAUCGCCCCCCAAACUAAAAAUAUCGGAAAUUAUAUAUUAUAUUUGGUUUAUGCCAUUUAUUAUGCAUAAUCUUAUACACAGCAUAUGUGGAGCACUUAAUUUUUUGCAUUUUUCACAUAGGGUAUUGAGUGGAAAUAUGAAUACACAGAUUUUCAAAGGCAUUGGGAAAAAAAUCGGUCGCGCCACAUAAAUUCCUGCAGAUAUGAGUGAAGGAAGUCUCGCCUGCAGCCCCUCAUCGUCUUGAGGUGGGACUUGUGUUUGUUCCAAUAUGACUCAAUUGUUUGAGUGUGAACCCCAGUUUGAGGAUCAACAAAGUUCAGAGAAUGGUUGACCGUCCUGUGCAUGUGAUGUUGUGGUAUGCCCUUCAUUCAUCAGAAUGAAUGACGGACCCUGGUUACACCACUGUGUUGAUGAUAGGGAGAAGGGUAGCAGCAUUGCUGGCGUCCACGAUUUCCAAGUAGCCGACCGCUGGUGAUGUGCUGGUGUCGACCAUGCCAAACACCCACAUAGAGGUGUGUGGUCCUCGACCCCGAUGGUGCUUGGGCUUAUGAGAAAAGCAGGAUUCAUCCACUUCUACCACUGUCCCAGGACCGCCAAGCUUGAUGGGGUUGGCCUGAAGGUAUCUGCUGCACACUUCUCGAAAAAAACUGUAGCAGUCGACCAUAGUUUUCUUUGAAACACCUGUUUGACGGGAUGCUUGUUUUUCGCCAAUGCCUUAACUCCAUAUGUACAAUGCAUGGAUCCAGGUCUGAAGUGAUAAAUUGGAGUUGGCAAAAAAUUAUUCAGUCCUUAUCGCUGUUGUAUAUUUGAACUUAACUCAGCCUUUCGUUUGACAUCUCCACGCAUAACCAUCCUUACGCUUGGCAUGUUUAGUCCAGUUCAUCGCAUUGUCACAAUUGCCACACUUCACUUCAUUACUUAAAAGUCGAUGUUGUUUAAGCCAAUUGAUCACAGGCAAAGGAGCCUCAGUCAGCAGAGGGAGCACGACAGACUUGAAUGUGUCACGGGCCAUGGCGAACUACAGACUGAAUACAUGAACCCAAUGGUGCUAAAACUGUGUCAGGUUAGUCAAAGAUGUUAAGGUGAGGUCAGGUCAACUGCUGAGGUUUUUGGCCGCCCGCUAUAGUCCUGUCAUCAAUUGAAGAAUUGCCCCCCAACUCUGCCCAACUGAAAAAUUGCCCCACCAGAGAGGUCUGGGGGGCAAUUGUUCAAUUGAUCCAAACAUCCCAGUUAUCAUCACGCGAGAGAAACAGAACACACCAAUGCUGGAGAAGAAGUACAAGCAUUUCGAGGUAUAUGUUUGUUUGUUUAUGUGUGUGUGUGUAUAAGUAAUAAUAAAAAUAAUAAUAAUC